AGGUCAGGGGCUCAGAAGGUUUUCUCUAAAGUCAAACCCAAAUUCCUGCUGCUGCAAAGACCUGAGGAAGUACGAGCAACCCCUGCUGAAUCUGAUGAAGAAGUAGAGAUAGAGAGGGAUGUUGGUGAUGUUGGAUCCUAAUUUCAGUUCCUAUCUCACCACAGGACCUUGGGCAUAUUAACUAACCAAUAUAGAGUUCAAGUAAAGUGGACUUGGGGCAACGCCAGGAAAGCCUGUGGUUAGUUUUUUCUUUCAUGUGACCCUCUGCCCAAAUGACGAGUCUGGGAGUGCUGGGAUCCAGGAAAGGUAACCACAGGGCAAGCGAGCACUUUCAGAUCUCUCACAGAAGCUUCCAUCAUCUGUUCGAGUUUGGAUGUUGACAGAGAAAGGUUGCACUGAAACGAGGCUGUCAGAGCAGGAGCAUCAGCCUUUGUCAGGCUGGCAACAAAUACCACUUCUGGAUCUGUGAUCAUGGCCUUUAAAGUCAUAUUUGGUCUAACAGAGUCAUCUGAAGAAACAAGCAACAGGAACCAGAAAAGUUUAAGCUUCCAUUUGAAUUCACAAAUUUUCCCAAGUGACACGGUGUCCAUAUAGCAAGAACCAGAUACAUGAUCGUGAUCACGGCUGAACACAGUGAGAUCAUUAAUCACAUAAGGCUUGCCUGUUAAUAGUUUAUUCAUCUCUACAUAGUUCCUGUCUAACUAUAACAACAGCCUUUUUAUCUAGCAUUUGUCUGUAUGGUGGCACAAACUUCACCUGGGGAGAUGUUGACCUCAUCAAGCUUAUGCAAUACUUAAAACUAUCCACUUAAACCAGAAACCUUG
ensembl:lncRNA novel transcript, antisense to VPS13C